AUUGAACGCUGGCGGCGUGCCUAAUACAUGCAAGUCGAACGCACUGGGGACGGGUGAGUAACACGUGGGUAACCUCCCAUCAGAGGGGAUAACACUUUGAAACAGGUGCUAAACCGAUACUGAUGGAUGGACCCGCGGUGCAUUAGCUAGGUGGUGAGGUAACUGCUCACCAAGGCCACGAUGAAUAGCCGACCUGAGAGGGUGAUCGGCCACUCUGGAGCGGAGACACGGCCCAGACCCCUACGGGAGGCAGCAGUGGGGAAUCUUCGGCAAUGGAAGAAAGGCUGCGCUGGCAACGCCGAGUGAGUGAAGAAGGUUUUCGGAUCGUAAAGCUCUGUUGUUAGAGAAGCGGUAGCUAACCAGAAAGCCACGGCUAACUACGUGCCAGCCGCCGCGGUAAUUC
rnacentral:rRNA from 1 species